UGAACUCUCUUAAGAGAUUACAGGAUGUC
rnacentral:piRNA from 1 species